rnacentral:tRNA from 1 species
UAAAGUGUAGCCAUUUUGGUCUCCUAUCUAGUCACCAGGAUGUCACAAAAUGUCUAACUGCCUAGGAUUGUAGACCACGCACCUGCUUUGGGAGCAGGGGGUCGCAGGUUCGAAUCCUGCCACCUCGA